GCGCCCGUAGCUUAAUGGAUAGAGCAGACGGCUUCGGACCGUAAGGUUGGGGGUUCGACUCCCUCCGGGCGCA
rnacentral:tRNA from 1 species